rnacentral:rRNA from 1 species
GACGAACGCUGGCGGCGUGCUUAACACAUGCAAGUCGAACGAAGUGGCGAACGGGUGAGUAACGCGUAAUCAACCUGCCCUUCAGGGGGGGACAACAGGUGGAAACGACUGCUAAUACCGCAUACUCAAGGAGGGGCUUGCGUCGGAUUGGCUAGGUGGGGGGGUAACGGCCCACCAAGGCGAUGAUCAGUAGCCGGGCUGAGGUGGUGGACGGCCACAUUGGGACUUGGACACGGCCCAGACUCCUACGGGAGGCAGCAGGUGGGAAGUUUCCGCCAUGGACGGAAGUCUGACGACGGAACGCCGCGGGAGUGAUGACGGCCUUCGGGUUGUAAAGCUCUGUUAAUCGGGACGCGGUACCGGAAUAGAAAGCCACGGCUAACUACGUGCCAGCAGCCGCGGUAAUUC